rnacentral:rRNA from 1 species
UACGUAGGGGGCAAGCGUUGUCCGGAUUUAUUGGGCGUAAAGAGCGUGUAGGCGGCUUUACAGGUCCGUUGUGAAAACUCGAGGCUCAACCUCGAGACGUCGGUUGAAACCGCAUGGCUAGAGUCCGGAAGAGGAGAGUGGAAUUCCCCGGUGUAGCGGUGAAAUGCGCAGAUAUCGGGAAGAACACCUAUGGCGAAGGCAGCUCUCUGGGACGGUACUGACGCUGAGACGCGAAAGCGUGGGGAGCAAACAGG